AUGAACGCUAGCGACAGGCCUAACACAUGCAAGUCGAGGGGCAGCACAAGGAGCAAUCUGAGGUGGCGACCGGCGCACGGGUGAGUAACACGUAUGCAACCUGCCUGUAAGCGGGGAAUAACCCGUUGAAAGACGGACUAAUACCGCAUAAUACUAAAUUACUGCAUGGUAAUUUAUUUAAACAUUUAUGGCUUACAGAUGGGCAUGCGCAUGAUUAGCUAGUUGGAGAGGUAACGGCUCCCCAAGGCAACGAUCAUUAGGGGUUCUGAGAGGAAGGUCCCCCACACUGGUACUGAGACACGGACCAGACUCCUACGGGAGGCAGCAGUGAGGAAUAUUGGUCAAUGGACGAGAGUCUGAACCAGCCAAGUCGCGUGCAGGAAGAAUGUCCUGGUGGAUUGUAAACUGCUUUUGCAGGGGAAUAAAGUGCAUCACGUGUGAUGUUUUGUAUGUACUCUGCGAAUAAGGAUCGGCUAACUCCGUGCCAGCAGCAGC
rnacentral:rRNA from 1 species